rnacentral:rRNA from 1 species
CCUACGGGAGGCAGCAGUGAGGAAUAUUGGUCAAUGGUCGGGAGACUGAACCAGCCAAGCCGCGUGAGGGAUGAAGGUACAGAGUAUCGUAAACCUCUUUUGUCAGGGAACAAAGGCGGGGACGUGUCCCCGGAUGAGUGUACCUGAAGAAAAAGCAUCGGCUAACUCCGUGCCAGCAGCCGCGGUAAUACGGAGGAUGCGAGCGUUAUCCGGAUUUAUUGGGUUUAAAGGGUGCGCAGGCGGUCUGUUAAGUCAGCGGUGAAAGCACGGGGCUCAAACCCAGCACCGCCGUUGAAACUGGCAGUCUCGAGUUGGAGAGAAGUAUGCGGAAUGCGCGGUGUAGCGGUGAAAUGCAUAGAUAUCGCGCAGAACUCCGAUUGCGAAGGCAGCAUGCCGGCUCCACACUGACGCUGAGGCACGAAAGCGUGGGUAUCGAACAGGAUUAGAUACCCCUGUAGUC